rnacentral:rRNA from 1 species
UGGGGAAUAUUGGACAAUGGGCGCAAGCCUGAUCCAGCCAUGCCGCGUGAGUGAUGAAGGCCCUAGGGUUGUAAAGCUCUUUCACCGGUGAAGAUAAUGACGGUAACCGGAGAAGAAGCCCCGGCUAACUUCGUGCCAGCAGCCGCGGUAAUACGAAGGGGGCUAGCGUUGUUCGGAAUUACUGGGCGUAAAGCGCACGUAGGCGGACAUUUAAGUCAGGGGUGAAAUCCCGGGGCUCAAACCCCGGAACUGCCUUUGAUACUGGGUGUCUAGAGUUCGAGAGAGGUGAGUGGAAUUCCGAGUGUAGAGGUGAAAUUCGUAGAUAUUCGGAGGAACACCAGUGGCGAAGGCGGCUCACUGGCUCGAUACUGACGCUGAGGUGCGAAAGCGUGGGGANCAAAACAGGAUUAGAUACCCUGGUAGUCCACGCCGUAAAACGUGGAAGCCAGCUGUCGGCAAGUUUACUUGUCGGUGGCGCAGCUAACGCAUUAAGCUUCCCGCCUGGGGAGUACGGUCGCAAGAUUAAAAACUUAAAGGGAAA